GUGCAUGCUCCUGGUGCAUGAUUUGCAUGCAAACCUUGCUUGGUGCAUGCUCCCAGUGCAUGUUCUGCAUGCAAAGAUGCUUGGUGCAUGCUCAGGGUGCUCUGUGCAUGCAAACCUUGCUCCGUGCACGCUUUUGGUGCAUGUUCUGGGUGCCAAACUGCUCCGUGCACGUUCCCAGUGCACACGGCGCUUGCAAACUGUGCUCUGUGCAUGCUCCUGGUGGGCGUUUUGCAUGCAGAGGCACUCUGUGUGUGCUCCCAGCGUGCACUGGGCGUGCUAACUGUGCUCCAUGCGCGCUCACGGCGCGCACCGCGCAUGCAAAAGUGCUGCGUGCGUGCUCGCGGUGCACGUGGUGCGUGCAAACCCUACUCAGUGCAUGCUCACGGCGUGUGUUCUGGGCGCAAAACUGCUCGGGGCACGCUGAUGGUGCACGGUUUGCAUGCAAACCUUGCUCUCUUCAUGCUCACAGCGCACCUUCUGCAGGCAAACGUGCUCCGUGCACGCUCACGGUGUGCACUGUGCAUGCAAAAGUGCUCUGUGCAUGCUCACAGUGCCCAUGGUGCAUGCAAACAGCGCGCGGUGUACGCUCACGGUGCGCGUUUUGCAUGCAAAGGUGCUCUGUGUGUGCUCGCAGUGUGCACAGGGCACGCAAAACCUGCUUGGUGCACGCUCAGUGUGCAUUGCGCAUGCAAGCCUUGCUCCGUGCACGCUCCCGGUGCACACUGUGCUUGGAAACUGUGCUCGGUGCAUGCUCCUGGUGCACGUUCUGUGUGCAGACCUUGCUCUGUGCAUGCUCUUGGUGCAUGUGCUGGGCGCAAAACUUGCUCCGUGCACGCUCCCGGUGCACAAUUUGCACACAAACAUGCUCCAUGCGUGCUCACAGGGUGCACUGUGCCUACAGACCCUGCUCCGUGCACCCUCACAGUGCACACUGUGCUUGCAAACUGCGAUCUGGGCCCGCUCCUGGUGCAUGUUCUGCAUGCAAACCCUGCUCAGUGCAUGCCCCUGGUGCACAAUUUGCGUGCAAACCUUGCUUGGUGCAUGCUCCCAGUGCACAUUGUGCAUGCAAACCUUGCUCCGUGCACGCUCCCAGUGCACACUGCGCUUGCAAACUGUGCUCGGUGCAUGCUCCUGGUGCAUGAUUUG
rnacentral:lncRNA from 1 species